AGACGGAGGGCACAAACGUUGUUCGGAAUUACUGGGCAUAAAGAGCACGUAGGCGGCCUGCUAAGUCUAAUGUGAAAUCCCUCGGCUCAACCGGGGAACUGCAUUAGAUACUGGCAGGCUCGAGGAUGGCAGGGGUAAGUGGAACUCCAGGUGGAACGGUGAAAUGUGUAGAUAUCUGGAGGAACACCGGUGGCGAAAGCGGCUUACUGGGCCAUCUCUGACGCUGAGGUGCGAAAGCUAGGGUAGCAAACGGAAUUAGAAACCCCAGUAGUCC
rnacentral:rRNA from 1 species